UGAGUAAUGCCUAGGAAUCUGCCUGGUAGUGGGGGAUAACGUUCGGAAACGGACGCUAAUACCGCAUACGUCCUACGGGAGAAAGCAGGGGACCUUCGGGCCUUGCGCUAUCAGAUGAGCCUAGGUCGGAUUAGCUAGUUGGUGAGGUAAUGGCUCACCAAGGCGACGAUCCGUAACUGGUCUGAGAGGAUGAUCAGUCACACUGGAACUGAGACACGGUCCAGACUCCUACGGGAGGCAGCAGUGGGGAAUAUUGGACAAUGGGCGAAAGCCUGAUCCAGCCAUGCCGCGUGUGUGAAGAAGGUCUUCGGAUUGUAAAGCACUUUAAGUUGGGAGGAAGGGUUGUAGAUUAAUACUCUGCAAUUUUGACGUUACCGACAGAAUAAGCACCGGCUAACUCUGUGCCAGCAGCCGCGGUAAUACAGAGGGUGCAAGCGUUAAUCGGAAUUACUGGGCGUAAAGCGCGCGUAGGUGGUUUGUUAAGUUGGAUGUGAAAUCCCCGGG
rnacentral:rRNA from 1 species